UACAGAGGUGGCAAGCGUUGUUCGGAAUUACUGGGCGUAAAGGGCGCGUAGGCGGCCUACUAAGUCAGACGUGAAAUCCCCCCGGCUUAACCUGGGAACUGCGUCUGAUACUGGAAGGCUUGAGGAUGGGAGAGGGAUGUAGAAUUCCAGGUGUAGCGGUGAAAUGCGUAGAUAUCUGGAGGAAUACCGGUGGCGAAGGCGGCAUCCUGGACCGGCAUUGACGCUGAGGAGCGAAAGCCAGGGGAGCAAACGGG
rnacentral:rRNA from 1 species